GAUGAACGCUAGCGGCAUGCCUAACACAUGCAAGUCGAGGGAGGAGCCUUCGGGCUUCGACCGGCGUACGGGUGCGUAACGCGUAUACAAUCUCCCUUUCACAUAGGGUUAGCCCGAAGAAAUUUGUAUUAAUACCUAAUGGUAUAUAGAUGUGGCAUCACCUUUAUAUUAAAGCUGAGGCGGUGAAAGAUGAGUAUGCGUUCUAUUAUCUAGUUGGAGAGGUAACGGCUCCGCAAGGCGACGAUAGAUAGGGGUUCUGAGAGGGAUAUCCCCCACACUGGAACCGAGAUACGGACCAGAAUCCUACGGGAGGGAGCAGUGAGGAAUACUGAACAAUGGUGGGAAGACUGAUACAGCCAUGCCGGGUGCAGGAAGACGGCCUUAUGGGUUGUAAACUGCUUUUGCAGGGGAAGAAUAAGGACUACGCGUAGUUUGAUGACGGUACUCUGCGAAUAAGCAUCGGCUAACUCCGUG
rnacentral:rRNA from 1 species